rnacentral:lncRNA from 1 species
UCGGAAAUAAUAGUGUAACAUCUGCUGUAAUAGUGUAAUACAGCUAAAAGCAGUGCACGAAUAGAAUGAAUUAUACAGAUAUAUUUACUAUAAGGCGUAAUAAUGUAAAGAAAGGGAUCUCUUUAUUAAUAUACAAGAUAAUUAUACAUUGUCUUUGAUGGAAACACAACAUAUAAUACACGUUUUGCAUACAAUACGAUGUUCAGAAUAUCAACUGUAACUUUCGCAUCAACAUUAUUAAUAAACAAAAUUAGGCUUUCAUUUUACAAAAGUACUGAUUCAUCAUCAAAGCUAGCCGGCAAAUCCACGAGCACAUAACAUACUCUGAGGUUCCUCUAUCGCUGAGGUUCCUCUAUCGGAAGAUGAAAUGGCAAAGAGGAGAGGGCUCGCUCGGAGGGGUAUGUCGAGAGCUUUAUUUGCACUAGGGACUUUGGCAUUGACGUUUUGGCACUACAUUGUUCGUAAAGAGACAGUAUAGUCAGAAAAAAAUUAGAAUCUAUCGAUAAGAAUAAAGAUCUAGAAGAAUUUAAGAACCUAGUAUAGGGUGGUGCCUCGUCGCAAAUAAAACACAGUACUUCAGAUAGUGCGAAUCAAUCUUAACGCCUCCUUACUGGAUGGUACACUUACGACCGAGCCUCUUCUUCGUCGACGUCUCCUGCGGCUCUCUCCUCUCGUCUCGUGUACCUCCAUCAUCGCCGUUUCCUCGUCGCCGGUUGCCCAAGUUCCUAGAGAGUGCUUUUUAUAUAUUGUAAUGAAACGAUAAUACAUCUGAAGAACCAUUUUAUAGAAAACUAAAAGGCAUUUGAAUAAUCGAGUCCAGCGACUCCAAGACUGGGAGGUUGCGUAACCAUAUAGGUCACCGACUAUUAAUGCUCGCGAAAUAUUAGUUUUCGUCGUGAACAGAAAGUGGCUAAUGCUCACCUUAAGAGCCGUAUUACUGUAACAUCACUUAAAAAUAUCAAUUAUUC